rnacentral:lncRNA from 1 species
CAGGAAAGGAGUAGAAGGGGAGAAAAGAAAAGUAGAAGCAAAGAAAGGGUCUUGAGGUGCGAGGAGGAGGACUCGAAGGGCAAAAACAAGGAGAACAACAUCUAAACCAAACGGAGUCAAUCUGAGGACACAGGAGGACAUGACCCUUUAUCAUCGUGCCUGCAUCUCUUCUCUCAGAGAACCUGCUGAAACUUUAAUUGGCAUGGGCAGCAACUUUUCUGAAAACAUCUUCCUCAAACUUAUCUUUGAAACCCUACAAUUGGCCUGGAUAAUUGAUUCUCCAUUGAUCCCGGGAGUCAAGAAAAUAUAUAGUUCAUCAUCUGCCUGAUCAACAAUAGCUGAGUUCCCCCAAGUUGCCUCAUCCAUUUCCUUCCAUCGGAUCAGGACGAGAGUUUAAUUUUUCAUGAAAAGCAAAACUGUUGCUUUCUCCACAGCCAGAUAACUGGGGUAAUUGCUCACACUCACACUAAUGCAGUUUCAGCCGGAGGCUCCUGAGGCCCCUGCGCUGACCUGGAUUGUGAAAUGGGAAGGAGGCUGCCUUGUCAGGGGGCCGAGGAGGCGGGGGCGGGCCACCCACCGCGUGUAGAGAGGAGCCAUCUCACCUACAAGGCG